ACUCCUACGGGAGGCAGCAGUAGGGAAUUUUCGGCAAUGGAGGAAACUCUGACCGAGCAACGCCGCGUGAACGAUGAAGUAUUUCGGUACGUAAAGUUCUUUUAUUAGGGAAGAAUAAAUGAUGGAAAAAUCAUUCUGACGGUACCUAAUGAAUAAGCCCCGGCUAACUAUGUGCCAGCAGCCGCGGUAAUACAUAGGGGGCAAGCGUUAUCCGGAAUUAUUGGGCGUAAAGGGUGCGUAGGCGGUUAAAUAAGUUUAUGGUCUAAGUGCAAUGCUCAACAUUGUGAUGCUAUAAAAACUGUUUAGCUAGAGUAAGAUAGAGGCAAGUGGAAUUCCAUGUGUAGUGGUAAAAUGCGUAAAUAUAUGGAGGAACACCAGUAGCGAAGGCGGCUUGCUGGGUCUUUACUGACGCUGAGGCACGAAAGCGUGGGGAGCAAACAGGAUUAGAUACCCUGGUAGUCCACGCCGUAAACGAUGAGUACUAAACGUUGGGUAAAACCAGUGUUGAAGUUAACACAUUAAGUACUCCGCCUGAGUAGUACGUACGCAAGUAUGAAACUUAAAGGAAUUGACGGGACUCCGCACAAGCGGUGGAUCAUGUUGUUUAAUUCGAAGGUACCCGAAAAACCUCACCAGGUCUUGACAUGCUUCUGCAAAGCUGUAGAAACACAGUGGAGGUUAUCAGUUGCACAGGUGGUGCAUGGUUGUCGUCAGCUCGUGUCGUGAGAUGUUGGGUUAAGUCCCGCAACGAGCGCAACCCUUAUUGUUAGUUACCAGCACGUAAUGGUGGGGACUUUAGCAAGACUGCCAGUGAUAAAUUGGAGGAAGGU
rnacentral:rRNA from 1 species